CUUUCCGCUUCUCCAUAUGUUGUCCCACAGCACUAUUUCUCUCAAGGACGAAAUCACUUUUUUUCCCUCAAAGUACUCUCCCUCAAAGUAUGCCCUGCGGUCCAAAAAACGUAUGUAACCAAUCAAAUCCUGAAAUUACUGACGUCCGGCUGACUCUGACCUCAGUCAUUCUUAAAGAAGAACGAUUCGAAAGACCGGGGUUUGAGGUCAUCAAGAACACCGCUAAAAUUAUUCCAGAUCGAAGGGAAGUAUUGAUGUCUUUGUUUUAUCCGCUCUACUAAAAGUAAAAUGGCAUUUAGCGUUGUACAUUUGCUAAUGACCGAUGAAGUGGCUGUCGUCCAAGCAAAUGAGUGUCAGAUGAUAAAAAGGGACAUGUAACUGGCCUUCGUAUAAAGAAAGAAGUCACAUGAAAAGAGCAAUUCUGGAACACAGAGAACCAGAUACAUCCUGAGAGAAUUUUUAUAUUGUUAUCCUGGGAGAAUAUUGUGCUUUCAAAGAAAAUCGGGCCACCAGAGAGGUACCUUGCAAUAUUAUUGAACAUAUUAUAAAAGACUGGUUGAAAAGUGUUU